UCAGGAUGAACGCUGGCGGCGUGCCUAAUACAUGCAAGUCGAACGAGUUCUGAUUAUUGAAAGGUGCUUGCAUCUUGAUUUAAUUUUGAACGAGUGGCGGACGGGUGAGUAACACGUGGGUAACCUGCCCUUAAGUGGGGGAUAACAUUUGGAAACAGAUGCUAAUACCGCAUAAAUCCAAGAACCGCAUGGUUCUUGGCUGAAAGAUGGCGUAAGCUAUCGCUUUUGGAUGGACCCGCGGCGUAUUAGCUAGUUGGUGAGGUAACGGCUCACCAAGGCAAUGAUACGUAGCCGAACUGAGAGGUUGAUCGGCCACAUUGGGACUGAGACACGGCCCAAACUCCUACGGGAGGCAGCAGUAGGGAAUCUUCCACAAUGGACGCAAGUCUGAUGGAGCAACGCCGCGUGAGUGAAGAAGGCUUUCGGGUCGUAAAACUCUGUUGUUGGAGAAGAAUGGUCGGCAGAGUAACUGUUGUCGGCGUGACGGUAUCCAACCAGAAAGCCACGGCUAACUACGUGCCAGCAGCCGCGGUAAUACGUAGGUGGCAAGCGUUAUCCGGAUUUAUUGGGCGUAAAGCGAGCGCAGGCGGUUUUUUAAGUCUGAUGUGAAAGCCCUCGGCUUAACCGAGGAAGUGCAUCGGAAACUGGGAAACUUGAGUGCAGAAGAGGACAGUGGAACUCCAUGUGUAGCGGUGAAAUGCGUAGAUAUAUGGAAGAACACCAGUGGCGAAGGCGGCUGUCUGGUCUGUAACUGACGCUGAGGCUCGAAAGCAUGGGUAGCGAACAGGAUUAGAUACCCUGGUAGUCCAUGCCGUAAACGAUGAAUGCUAGGUGUUGGAGGGUUUCCGCCCUUCAGUGCCGCAGCUAACGCAUUAAGCAUUCCGCCUGGGGAGUACGACCGCAAGGUUGAAACUCAAAGGAAUUGACGGGGGCCCGCACAAGCGGUGGAGCAUGUGGUUUAAUUCGAAGCAACGCGAAGAACCUUACCAGGUCUUGACAUCUUUUGAUCACCUGAGAGAUCAGGUUUCCCCUUCGGGGGCAAAAUGACAGGUGGUGCAUGGUUGUCGUCAGCUCGUGUCGUGAGAUGUUGGGUUAAGUCCCGCAACGAGCGCAACCCUUAUGACUAGUUGCCAGCAUUUAGUUGGGCACUCUAGUAAGACUGCCGGUGACAAACCGGAGGAAGGUGGGGAUGACGUCAAAUCAUCAUGCCCCUUAUGACCUGGGCUACACACGUGCUACAAUGGAUGGUACAACGAGUUGCGAGACCGCGAGGUCAAGCUAAUCUCUUAAAGCCAUUCUCAGUUCGGACUGUAGGCUGCAACUCGCCUACACGAAGUCGGAAUCGCUAGUAAUCGCGGAUCAGCACGCCGCGGUGAAUACGUUCCCGGGCCUUGUACACACCGCCCGUCACACCAUGAGAGUUUGUAACACCCGAAGCCGGUGGCGUAACCCUUUUAGGGAGCGAGCCGUCUAAGGUGGGACAAAUGAUUAGGGUGAAGUCGUA
rnacentral:rRNA from 2 species